rnacentral:rRNA from 1 species
CCUACGGGAGGCAGCAGUGAGGAAUAUUGGUCAAUGGACGAGAGUCUGAACCAGCCAAGUAGCGUGAAGGAUGACUGCCCUAUGGGUUGUAAACUUCUUUUAUAUGGGAAUAAAAUGUUCCACGUGUGGGAUUUUGUAUGUACCAUAUGAAUAAGGAUCGGCUAACUCCGUGCCAGCAGCCGCGGUAAUACGGAGGAUCCGAGCGUUAUCCGGAUUUAUUGGGUUUAAAGGGAGCGUAGGUGGAUUGUUAAGUCAGUUGUGAAAGUUUGCGGCUCAACCGUAAAAUUGCAGUUGAAACUGGCAGUCUUGAGUACAGUAGAGGUGGGCGGAAUUCGUGGUGUAGCGGUGAAAUGCUUAGAUAUCACGAAGAACUCCGAUUGCGAAGGCAGUUCACUGGACUGCAACUGUCACUGAGGCUCGAAAGUGUGGGUAUCAAACAGGAUUAGAUACCCCAGUAGUC